rnacentral:rRNA from 1 species
UGGGGGAUAUUGCACAAUGGGGGGAACCCUGAUGCAGCAACGCCGCGUGAGGGAAGAAGGUUUUCGGAUUGUAAACCUCUGUCCUCUGUGAAGAAGGAAUGACGGUAGCAGAGGAGGAAGCUCCGGCUAACUACGUGCCAGCAGCCGCGGUAAUACGUAGGGAGCGAGCGUUGUCCGGAAUUACUGGGUGUAAAGGGUGCGUAGGCGGCUUAUCAAGUCAGGUGUGAAAAUUAUGGGCUCAACCCAUAACCUGCACUUGAAACUGGAAGGCUUGAGUGAAGUAGAGGUAGGCGGAAUUCCCGGUGUAGCGGUGAAAUGCGUAGAGAUCGGGAGGAACACCAGUGGCGAAGGCGGCCUGCUGGGCUUUAACUGACGCUGAAGCACGAAAGCAUGGGUAGCAAACAGG